GGCAGUUCUCGGGUGAUGCACCCUGGAACCAGAGAGGAGGGAGCCCGAUUCCGGGGUGCAUCAUUCGAGAACUGCC
rfam:Myotis brandtii contig252182, whole genome shotgun sequence.